rnacentral:rRNA from 1 species
AUUGAACGCUGGCGGCAUGCCUUACACAUGCAAGUCGAACGGUAACAGGUCUUCGGAUGCUGACGAGUGGCGAACGGGUGAGUAAUACAUCGGAACGUGCCUAGUAGUGGGGGAUAACUACUCGAAAGAGUGGCUAAUACCGCAUGAGAUCUACGGAUGAAAGCAGGGGAUCGCAAGACCUUGUACGACUAGAGCGGCCGAUGGCAGAUUAGGUAGUUGGUGGGAUAAAAGCUUACCAAGCCGACGAUCUGUAGCUGGUCUGAGAGGACGAUCAGACACACUGGGACUGAGACACGGCCCAGACUCCUACGGGAGGCAGCAGUGGGGAAUUUUGGACAAUGGGCGCAAGCCUGAUCCAGCAAUGCCGCGUGCAGGAUGAAGGCCUUCGGGUUGUAAACUGCUUUUGUACGGAACGAAAAGCCCUGGGUUAAUACCCUGGGGUCAUGACGGUACCGUAAGAAUAAGCACCGGCUAACUACGUGCCAGCAGCCGCAGUAAUAC